GGAUUGAAGGCUGAAAUUCGCCUUCAUGAAGCCGGAAUUGCUAGUAAUGGCAGGUCAGCAUACUGCCGUGAAUACGUUCCCGGGCCUUGUACACACCGCCCGUCACACCAUGAGAGUUGGGGAUACCCGAAGCCUGUGAGCUAACAGUAAUGAAGCAGCAGUCGAAGGUAGAAUCAAUGAUUGGGGUGAAGUCGUAACAAGGUAUC
rnacentral:rRNA from 1 species